GGGCAGCCGAGGACUCAGCGGCCAGCUGUGUGGCCCAUAGCGCCCUCCAAGAGCCCUCACCUCGCAGGCCUUCCUUCCUUCCGCGCCCCGAGGACCGGAUAGGAAGGAGCGGCCCAAGUGGAAGGAAGGAAGCGUUUCUCCUCCUUCCUGGAAGCGGUGCUGGUGGUGAGCGCACAUCGCUGACCAGCCCCCUCCUCUGCCUGACGCCCCUGCCCCCCCAAGUGCAGGUGGAGCCCCAGCAGGUGGGUGGACGGCCCCUCGCGGCUGCACCUGGUUGGCCCCAUCGCGCCUUGUGGAUCCCAGAGGGCGGGGAUGCCCUGUUCUGUCCCAGCUACCACCUGGCCCCAAGGCUCGCUAAGGAGUUGGUAAGUGAGUCAGGGAAGGAAAACCCCGGGUCCCGAAGAGGAAACGCCAGAGGCUGGGAAGAGAGACUUGCGACACGGAAACGGAGCUCCCCCGAGGCAGUUACAAAAUAGCAGGGAGGAAACCAGGGGGGGCUGGACAGGCACCUCACGCAGAGGAAGCCCGAAGGGCACAGACCUCGUGAAGACGAGCCCAGCCCCGUCGAGACCAGGGAGGGGACAGCCCCCAGGCGGGCAAAGAGACCGUGGGGACCACACAGGGAAGCCACGGGGACCUGCACAACCGGGUGCAAACGGGUGACGGUUUGGGGGAUGGUGUGACGCUGUGUCCCCCGGAGGGCGGGGACCCUUGACCGGGCGUCUUUGCUCCCAGCUUGACCCUGCAGAGAUCGGGGUGCGUGUGUGGCAAAACGGUCCUCGUGGCCACCUCGUUCCUCACAGCUGGAAGCGGAAACGACCCUCACGGCCCCCAGGGAACGGAGACGCGGGCUGGCAGAAGAACGGGGUGCAGAGGAGCCAGGACC
rnacentral:lncRNA from 1 species